GAUGAUGGCGGUGGCGGUGAAUAUGAAUACUGGAUGAUGGUGGUGGCGGUGGGGUUCCAAAGCUUGCCGCAACCUGUAACACAAUUGCAAAGAUACAUGUGUAUCAGCAGCAGUAUGAAAUCUUCUCAAUUAUCAUUCAGAUAUCAAACUACAGGUCACUAAACCUUACUCAGACUAUCAUUCAGAUAUCAAACUACAGGUCAAGAAACCUUACUCCAACAUGAGGUUCGUCGCUAUUUAUUUAUUUUCCUUGUCUUGUUUUAAUAAAAGAAGUACGCAUAAAAAAAUUAAUUAGGAAUCUAUAUAUUCCAAGAGGGUAGUAACCAGGAACCAACAAAUCCUAUUGGACAGUUGGCAUCAUAAUAAACGAUUUCCAUUUUCAUUUGAGUGGUUUGGUUCUAAUCUCGAGGAAAAGAACAAGGUGGAAAGAAGAAGUGUUGAUAACAAGGCAACAAAAGAUAUAUGUAUAUAUUUAUGAGUUAACCAACUGUAUAUCUCCAGUAGCUUCUCAAAAUGACGGGUCAAAAUGGAGGUGGGUAUGAAGAUUCAGGCGGUGGUGGCGGUGGAUAUGAAUACUGGAUGAUGGUAACAAAACCUUUAUACCAAGGUAACCAAACUGUCAUGUCAAAGUAACCAAUCAACCUCCACACUUUAAAUUUUUUCUUAGUACAGUUGGUUACCAAACCUUCAGAUCAAGGUAAGUAAACCUUCGUACCAAGGUAAGAAAACCUUCAUACCAAGGUAACUAAUUCACAUCCACACCAGCAGUUUUUUCAUAGUGUAGUUGGUAGCCAAACCUUCAGACCAAGGUAACCAAUUCAAUUUUAUUAAAUUACCAAUUUCGUUUAAAUGUGAUGCAGUUGGUAGCCAACCAUUCAUACAAAGGUAACUAUUUUAUUAUUUAUGAGUAACAAAAUAGUUAUAAAUUUUUUUUCAGAACAUUAAAAGUUACAUCUAUUUAUUUUUUAACUUUUUGUAGGGCGAAUCUUCUUCUUAUUCUCAUUGGCGUUUUGGACAACGGAGAUUCGCGGUGGUGUAGCGACGGAGUAUGUGAGGUGUAGCGGCGGACUAUUAUUUCAAAGUGUAUGUGAGGGAGAUGAAGAUUUGAAUUUGAAUAUUUAAAUUUGAAUUAUUAUUUUGAAUUUGAAUUUGUUUUUGUUGUUAGAUCCAAAUAUUUGAAUUUGAAUUAUUUAUUAUGGCAGUUAUUUGUCCUUGAUUUUAGGUUUCCUUAUUAAUAUGAAUUGUACUAUUUUUGUAAUAUGGAUCCUAAUUACACUAUUUUUGUAAUUAUUUGGUUGAUGCACUUUUCUUGUAAUUACUUUCUAUUUGUUGUAUACUUAUGUAAAGAACCCUAGAAUUUAACGUCCGUCCAAAAAAUUUGACGGAAUGGCCCAAUUAAGUAUUUUUAAAAAUUCCAGUGAGCCAAUUACAUUUUUUUAAAGUACAGUAACUCAAUAUUUAUAACUCGAUGAACACAAUAAGGGUAAAUAUACUUUUUGCCAAUUCAAUUUCAUUACCACAUUGACAAAUUUCAUUCAUAUUCUCGGACUCCUUCCACAAAUAUCACAACACCCUCAUGUGACUUUUCUUUGAUGCAUAUUAAGUUUUACUUUGACACCAUUACAUAUAUUUAUUUAUUCUAAAUAAUAAUUUAAUCAUGAAUUAAAUUUCAAAUAAUGCUCUUUAAUGAAAAUUAUGUCUAAUGAGCACCCUAAAUUUUUAUUUAUCUAAAAACAACUUAUUUCAUGUAACUUACUUAACUCAUAAACACAACUUAUACCGCACAAAAAACUAGUACAAACACACCAAAUACUACAACUAAAAGUCUCAAACGUUGGUAACUAAGCAAAUCCUAAAAUUAAAAAGUCAAUUGGGACUUUUAUUUUGAAAUAAAGUAGGGAUAAAUUAAUCAGCUCUAUGCCCUUGAAUAACAUAACCCUGAUGAGGGAUGACUAAUUUCAGGAAACCAGUCUCCUCACAGCUAGCAGCAGGAGCAUAUAUCUGUCCUUCAACCUUCAACCUUCAACUUUUCCCACAUUCAAAUUCAGGAGAAAAAGUUACUUUUAAAAAAAUAAGGAUAAAACAAUAACUUUAAAAUUACUGCAGACAAAUUUUGAUUAAAAAUCACUAAAAUGAAAAACCCAUAAAGUAGUCCAUCUGUUUAAUUUUUACCCAAAAAAAAAAGGAACCCAAAGAUUAAAGAUAUAUAUGAACAAAGCUAGCUAACUUGACAAUCAAUUUGGGACACCAUAUAUUCUUGAAAUUAAUAAACAAGUGAUGAUCUUUCUCUGUCUCUAUAUAUGCUUAUUCUCUGGAAGAAACUAAAAUGAUCAAGGACCUGUGGGAUUGCUCUUAUGGUGAAGAGGGUCUGGUCCAGUUGGCACUUCCCUUGCUGAAUCCUCUGUCCCAAAACCUGACUCUCCAUUUCCAAAUUUAUCCAACAAUCCCUUCAUUUUUCAACAAAAAAAAAAUGUAAAUUAAUAAAAAAUAAUUAAAACCCUCCAUGAAAAAUACAAUGUUCAAGAUAAAAAAAUAAAAUAUAAAAGAAAUAUAACAUAAUUAAAGAUGUUUUUUUUAACUCAAGAAAAUGGCUGAUACUUGUAUUUAUAUAUAUAUAUAUAUAUAUAUAUACACACACACACACCUGACACCCCCACCCACCCACCUGUGUAGCUAUGCUUUCUGCCAUUUUGGUCUCUACUUGUAAACCUGAGAAAAAUUAAAGGGGGAAAAAAGAAGAAGAACCAUUUUAUAAUAGUUUGUACAUUUAGAGAGAGAAACCAUAACUAAAAGAGAAAGAGACAGACUUACAGGGACGAGAAGUUUGGACAAAAGGUGCUGAAACCGCCAUUAAAAUGGCCGAGAAGAGUAAAAAACAGGUUAAAUCUCUGCAAAAGGCCAUCUUUUUUGGUAAGAAAUGAAACCCUGUCCCAAAAUCUGUCACAUAUAAGAAAAAUAAACACAGAAAGAUUAGUGAAACAGAGCUUUUUAUGGAGUCGCCGAAUUGAAGUUCUGGAAAUUUGCAAAAAUAAAAUAAAAUUGGGAAUAUAUUUUAGCACCAUGCCUAAAUUAUCCCUUAAAAUUUUCAGUAAAAAAGCUACGAUUUCAAUAUUUGAGGGGUGUUUUGGUCUUUUCGUUAAUGGAG
rnacentral:lncRNA from 1 species